rnacentral:lncRNA from 1 species
CCACUGGUCACAUUACGGUUCACGGUCUGUUUAGUGCAGGGAUCCCGAAAGUACUGGUUUCUGAAUUUCUGCACAUGUGUCUGGAAGGGAAGGGAAGUGGGCAGCUGGUUCAGGCCUCUCUGUGACAUCACCUUGGGAGGGCAGGUGCAGGUGUUUGUGACCCACCUGAAACCAAGGCGGUGCUGGGGACACCGUGUUGGCACUCAAGGAAUUAAUGGAGGUGACAAGCAAAGUCUCUGACAGGCAGUGUGACUCAUGACAGCCUUAGACAGCACUGGCCUUAUCUCUUUCUCAGUCUUGGAUCUUCCUCCCUUCACCACUGAGAACGUGGACCCUGCCUCCAAUGCCUCAAGACCCCCUACCCUUCACGGACAACUGCAGCCACAAGGCCUACCGCUGGAUGCUCUGGUCAGCAAAGGCAUCUUGUGCCCCAGAAGACUGGGAAGAAGACCAUCCCCCCCAGUACCCUACACUACAAGUGAGUCCAGUCUGGGCACAUCUCUGAGUGUAAGAGAGACAGAGCCAGCAGACAGCUGUGACCAGGAGACCUGUGCUACCCCAGCUGCCCUAGGAUCUGAGGCGUCAGAGAAAUCAGGGAAGUCUUAGCCAAGAAUCCAGAUGGGUAGAGGGAAAAUUGUUUUUCCUCUGCCACAGAAGAGUAAAGCUCGGGG